GGUAGGAUCGUUCCUGUCCACUGCCGCCCUUCACCUGUCGAGGUAUUUUUUCCACAGUGCCGCCACCCCUACCUCAAUCCUCGUUCCUGUCCACCGCCGCCACCAAAUUCUGCUCUCCUUCCUUCCCUUGUUUUUCCCCUACGGUGCUUUGGGCUUGAACCCUGAAUGCUUCUCGUGGUGCUACUGGUAGAGAGCCACAAGGAAGCAGCGGCCAGCAGCAAGAGGAAAGAGAAGCAGGGAGGGGAAAAGAUUUGGGCCCUUGCAAGAUCCAUCAAAUUUCUCUGCAAAUCCUUGAUUUCUGGGUUAAGGUUCGAUAAAUUCUAGUGGCGAGCGUGUGACGUCGGAUUCUCGACAAGGUUAAGGCAAGUGCAAUGACGAACCUCUUGAUGUGUGAUCUUGUCUGUGGCUUUCUUGCUGCCCUUGGGCGACGUUUAUUCAAUGUUUUUACUUUAUAUGUCAAUUCCUUUAAGAUUCGUGUCAUAAUUUUCUGGUUCUGUCAAAUGUUCAAGAUUUGUGUGUUGCCUUUCAUAUCAUUCAAGGGCCGGAGGUUUGUAUAAACACCGGUUGUGCAAUUUGGUUCUUAUGUUCAGGUUCCUGUGAAUAAGUGCUGGCCCCACUUAUUCGGCUUUACCGGUAAAUGCAAAGGAAGUUUCAGGUGA